rnacentral:tRNA from 1 species
UCCCUGGUGGUCCAGUGGUUAGGACGUGGUGUUUUUCACUCCCGAGGGCCCAGGUUCAACCCCUAGUUGGGGAA